CCUACUUGCACUGCUCUCCAGCAGAGCCCAGAAGAGGAGGUGGUCAGUAUCUGUGAGGCGGCUGAGACCCCAUUCCAUACACAGCAGCGUGGGGACUGGUCCUGCAAUGUGCUGAGUGCCUCCAGUGGGUCCUAAGUGCUUCCCUCUCCCAGUGACUUCAGAAGGAGCUCUUGGUGUCCCCAUUGGAAGAAUGCAAAACAAUCAUCAGGCUGAGGUAACCACAGGUCCCUCUGUGAGAAUCUGCAGAACACGCACAUUGAACUGCACUUUGAGGCUGCUAUUUUUUUUUCCACAUGAGCUCAUUUCACCUGGACGAAUCACUAGACACCGUAUAAGCAGGAACAUGAACGAGAGAAAGGAAGACACACGGAGAAAGAAUGAGGUCUCUUUGACCCAUGCCUCAUUCAGCGCAUAGGAGGCACACACUAGGGAGCAGAAUUGAGAUGGCACGAGCAACUGUAAAUUUGGAAUUCCCCAACUGCCAAGUCUAUGUCUUUGCUAACCUACAAUAUGUCCUUUUAAUGUAGUAUGUUUACAUUGCUACAGUGUAUUGGGCAAAUUUGAAAUUUGAUUUGUCUUUUGGAUCUAGCCAUGCAUACGGGCAAUAUUAAUGUAGGUCCCUAUUCUGAUCUAUCAGUGACACUAAGCAGAGAUCUCCCCACACACACUUAAAUUACUUCUGCCAGGAAUAAUCAUUAUAUUUAAAACUGAAACCAGAGGAGCUGGUCUGGAUCCAGGAAUUUGAAUCCAAAUUCCCUGAAAAGUUCAAAGGGAUUCACAUGUGUGGCUCUGACUUUGGCACAUCUUUAAUUUUGGUCAUUGUUUAUGAGGACCCAGUAUCUGAAAUACCUGCUGUCCUAAACAACACCUCAAGGUACAAUAUUAAAGAUAAAUAAUAGGGCUAUUGAUUAAUCACAGUUAACUCACGUGAUUAACUCAAAAAAAUUAACU